rnacentral:rRNA from 1 species
GACGAACGCUGGCGGCGUGCUUAACACAUGCAAGUCGAACGGAAAGGCCCCUUUGGGGGUACUCGAGUGGCGAACGGGUGAGUAACACGUGAGUAACCUGCCCUUGACUUCGGGAUAACUUCAGGAAACUGGGGCUAAUACCGGAUAGGAAUCCUUGCUGCAUGGUGGGGGUUGGAAAGCUUCGGCGGUUUUGGAUGGACUCGCGGCUUAUCAGCUUGUUGGUGGGGUAGUGGCUUACCAAGGCUUUGACGGGUAGCCGGCCUGAGAGGGCGACCGGCCACAUUGGGACUGAGAGACGGCCCAGACUCCUACGGGGGGCAGCAGUGGGGAAUCUUGCCCAAUGGGCGGAAGCCUGAUGCAGCAACGCCGCGUGCGGGAUGACGGCCUUCGGGUUGUAAACCGCUUUCAGCAGGGGCGAAGCUUGUGGUGACGGUACCUGCAGAAGAAGCACCGGCUAACUACGUG